CACGCCGGUCGAAGAUACCAGGCCGCUGCGACUGUUUAUUAAAAACACAGCACUCUGCAAACACGAAAGUGGACGUAUAGGGUGUGACGCCUGCCCGGUGCCGGAAGGUUAAUUGAUGGGGUUAGCUAACGCGAAGCUCUUGAUCGAAGCCCCGGUAAACGGCGGCCGUAACUAUAACGGUCCUAAGGUAGCGAAAUUCCUUGUCGGGUAAGUUCCGACCUGCACGAAUGGCGUAACGAUGGCGGCGCUGUCUCCACCCGAGACUCAGUGAAAUUGAAAUCGCUGUGAAGAUGCAGUGUAUCCGCGGCUAGACGGAAAGACCCCGUGAACCUUUACUAUAGCUUUGCACUGGACUUUGAAUUUGCUUGUGUAGGAUAGGUGGGAGGCUUUGAAGCGUGGACGCCAGUCUGCGUGGAGCCAACCUUGAAAUACCACCCUGGCAACUUUGAGGUUCUAACUCAGGUCCGUUAUCCGGAUCGAGGACAGUGUAUGGUGGGUAGUUUGACUGGGGCGGUCUCCUCCUAAAGAGUAACGGAGGAGUACGAAGGUGCGCUCAGACCGGUCGGAAAUCGGUCGUAGAGUAUAAAGGCAAAAGCGCGCUUGACUGCGAGACAGACACGUCGAGCAGGUACGAAAGUAGGUCUUAGUGAUCCGGUGGUUCUGUAUGGAAGGGCCAUCGCUCAACGGAUAAAAGGUACUCCGGGGAUAACAGGCUGAUACCGCCCAAGAGUUCAUAUCGACGGCGGUGUUUGGCACCUCGAUGUCGGCUCAUCACAUCCUGGGGCUGAAGCCGGUCCCAAGGGUAUGGCUGUUCGCCAUUUAAAGUGGUACGCGAGCUGGGUUUAGAACGUCGUGAGACAGUUCGGUCCCUAUCUGCCGUGGACGUUUGAGAUUUGAGAGGGGCUGCUCCUAGUACGAGAGGACCGGAGUGGACGAACCUCUGGUGUUCCGGUUGUCACGCCAGUGGCAUUGCCGGGUAGCUAUGUUCGGGAAAGAUAACCGCUGAAAGCAUCUAAGCGGGAAACUUGCCUCAAGAUGAGAUCUCACUGGAACCUUGAGUUCCCUAAAGGGCCGUCGAAGACUACGACGUUGAUAGGUUGGGUGUGUAAGCGCUGUGAGGCGUUGAGCUAACCAAUACUAAUUGCCCGUGAGGCUUGACCAUAUAACACCCAAGCAAUU
rnacentral:rRNA from 1 species